rnacentral:rRNA from 1 species
AGAGUUUGAUCCUGGCUCAGGACGAACGCUGGCGGCGUGCUUAACACAUGCAAGUCACGGGGGCCCGCAAGGGUAACCGGCGAACGGGUGCGUAACACGUGAGCAAGCUUCCGAUCUGUGGGGGAUAGCCGGCCCAACGGCCGGGUAAUACCGCAUACGUUCACUGGACGGCAUCGUCUGGUGAGGAAACCUCCGGGGCAGAUCGAGGUGCUCGCGGCCUAUCAGCUAGUUGGCGGGGUAACGGCCCACCAAGGCGACGACGGGUAGCUGGUCUGAGAGGAUGGCCAGCCACAUUGGGACUGCGACACGGCCCAGACUCCUACGGGAGGCAGCAGUGGGGAAUAUUGCGCAAUGGACGAAAGUCUGACGCAGCGACGCCGCGUGUGGGAUGAAGCCUUUCGGGGCGUAAACCACUGUUGCCCGGGACGAACCUCCCCUUUCGAGGGGACUGACGGUACCGGGUGAGGAAGCACCGGCUAACUCUGUGCCAGCAGCCGCGGUAAUACAGAGGGUGCGAGCGUUGUCCGGAAUCACUGGGCGUAAAGGGCGCGUAGGUGGCUUGGUAAGCGUGUGGUGAAAGUCCGGGGCUCAACCCCGGAUCUGCCGUGCGAACUGCCGAGCUUGAGCGAUGUAGAGGCAGGUGGAAUUUCGGGUGUAGCGGUGGAAUGCGUAGAGAUCCGAAAGAACACCAGUGGCGAAGGCGGCCUGCUGGGCAUCCGCUGACACUGAGGCGCGACAGCGUGGGGAGCAAACAGGAUUAGAUACCCUGGUAGUCCACGCCGUAAACGAUGGGUACUAGGUGUCUGGGGGAGCGACCCCCUGGGUGCCGGCGCUAACGCAUGAAGUACCCCGCCUGGGGAGUACGGCCGCAAGGCUGAAACUCAAAGGAAUUGACGGGGGCCCGCACAAGCGGUGGAGCAUGUGGUUAAUCGACGC